CCCAACUACACCUCCCAUGCUUCCGGAGGGGCGUCCUCUGUCUUUAGGGUCUCCAUACAUCCCCACUGAGUUCAGUGUAAGCCGUGAUUCAGUGGACAGGCAAGAUGCUCAGACCCUGCAUUGCUUCCCUGUUCUCUGUUUUAACACACAGCAGGGUCCCAUUUAAGCAGUUUCUGGUGCCGUGUCAGAGGGCUGAAAGUCCGCCCCGGUAGUUUUGUCCCGGUAAUUUAAAUUCCAUUUUCGGGAGAACUGCCCCUUUAAGAUACGGCGGGGAUCCCAAAAUUUCUGAGUAGCCAGUCAGGUGAGAAAAUCAGCCAGCUCGGAGUGUUUGCCGCGGGGAGACAAAUUCUUCUGAUGGCGUCAUUUUUUACUAAAUAAGCGAACCUUUAUUGAAUGUCCGAGAGUGCCAGGCCAAACGGAGUGGAGUGGAAUGGGGUCGUUCCGGGGUUGUUAUGUUGCCGUGGCUACUGUGUUUCCGAGGUCACUUGGGGUGAACUGUUCUGCCUUUAAUAUAAUUUUAACACUAUAAAGCCCUCUGCUUUGGGAGAAUAAUUGUCUUUGUCUUACUGGCUAAUCUGUAAGGAGGCUAUAGCACCAGUUUGUUUUGGCUUUUGCUCUCUAAUGUGUAGAUUGGCUUGGGUGUGUUUUCUUGUCUGUAUGUGGUAUCUAUUGCAGAUGCUCUGAUGUACAGACUUAACACCACACAGUGCUUGCCUCAUGCAGUAAGGUGUGCUUUUCAACUCUGUAAUUAAGGCUUUUCUGAUAGCUGUGAUAGCUGUAGACUUAAUCCUAGUGAUGGCAGAAUGAGGAGCCUUAUCAUGACACCAAUAAUUGGUGUAGCUACCAUGUGCUACAAUAACAGUAACUCACUAAUUUUAACCAAUCGCUUUUCGUUGUGAAGGGCAAAAUCUUUUCAUUGGUUCAGGACAAAAGGAUCCUAAAUGAUACUGCCAUCAUUCUGCUUUCACAACACAAUGCAUUUUUAAAAUAUUUUUUAUAUGGUCUUUUGCUUUAUGAGUCACUCUGCGUCUGCUAAAUGCCAAUUCGUAGUCGUAAAUUUGUUGUUGUUGGUUCAAAUAGCUCUUGUGUGGACUGACUGAGUGGCUGGUGUUUUCUGGGGAAGUGACGGUGUGUGUGCGUGCGCGCGCGCGCAUGUGUGUGUGACAGUAGAUAACUGCGUGGACGUUAUGCAGUAGAUCGCUGGGGAACGAAAGGGGGAGUGGGGUUGGCUUAACGAUCAGCCAUUCUCAGCUUUUAUUGGCUGUACCAUAUUAGGAGACCCCCCCUCCCCCUCUCACGCCCCUGCUAGAGGGACUUUCCAUGAGUUUCUCUGCGUGGCUCCGCCCCCCCAGGCACACCGCAGAGGGAGAAGGUCAAACCGCCCCCCCCUCCUCUCCAGAUGCCUGUUCUAGCUCACCGUUUCCCGGAGUGACUGAC